GACAUAAUUCCAAAUUUUUCUUCAUUACUUGGUUGGCUUUUUUGUAUAGAUUACAGGUCUUAUUGGUGAUUUCCAUUUUGUUUUCUUUGAUCACGACUUGCUAAAAGUAAAGGAACUAGCUUUUGAACAGCCUACUCAUGCUUUUGGUCUAUCUUGAUGAAGCCUUAUCAUAAUUGCAUAACUAGUUUAUGUAUUGUUGACUCAUGAAGUGGUGAGUUUGUAUAGAAUUUCAGAUGGCUGGUUCAUUAAUGUGCAGGAAAUUUUCCCUCUGUCUAGCAUUAGAGAUAUUGUUCAUAGAUUCUUAAUCAUUAUAACAUAAUGUGCUUCAUAGUCAAUUCUGUUACUCUGAAUGUUUUUUUCUUACCUCACAAAUUAUGUAUCUAUUACAUUCUGUAAUGGCAGUGGUUAUGCAAUGACAAGUCCUCCCAUGAGCCAAGACUAAAAUUGAAGGCUUUUUUUGGAUGAUUAUACAGAUGUCUGGCAAGGGGAGCCAGAGCAGUGUUUCAAGCAUAUCCAGAAAAUACAGCGCAGCGUGUGUUGAUUUUGAAGUCUGCAAUGCAGGCUGGAUUUGCUAGAAAAGCCAGAGAAAAAAAAUUGUUCCUUAGUGUCACUAUUUACUACAUCUUGUGGGCCAAAAAUGAAGCAAUUUUUAAAUUUGUGUGGUAGUCAAUCAAUUCAGAUAUUAUUGUUUAGACUAAUGCAUUCAUUUAUAAAUUGAUUUAUUUGAUUAA